rnacentral:rRNA from 1 species
GAUGAACGCUGGCGGCGUGCCUAAUACAUGCAAGUCGAGCGAACGGACGAGAAGCGGGCUUCUCGGAUGUUAGCGGCGGACGGGUGAGUAACACGUGGAUAACCUAGCGAUAAGACUGGGAUAACUUCGGGAAACCGUAGCUAAUACCGGAUAAUGUUUUGAACCGCAGGGUUCAAAAGUGAAAGACGGUCUUGCUGUCACUGAUAGAUGGAUCCGCGCGGCAUUAGCUAGUUGGUAAGGUAACGGCUUACCAAGGCAACGAUGCAUAGCUGACCUGAGAGGCUGAUCCGCCACACUGGAACUGAGACACGGUCCAGACUCCUACGGGAGGCAGCAGUAGGGAAUCUUCCGCAAUGGGCGAAAGCCUGACGGAGCAACGCCGCGUGAAUGAUGAAGGUCUUCGGAUCGUAAACCUCUGUUAUUCGGGACGAACCUAUGUGUAAGUAACUGUGCACAUCUUGACGGUACCUAAAGAGAAAGCCCCGGCUAACUACGUG